rnacentral:lncRNA from 1 species
CUGCCAGGUUAUUAUCUUUUGUAAAUAAUUUCUGCUUGUCUGGGCAGAGUGAGCAAGUGAAGGGCAAGACUUGAUAGGGAGGAAAUAAAUGUGCUAAUUCAACUUGUCUGAAGUUUACAUCAAAAUUAAAAUUUCAACUUGAAAGUAAUGGAUGUGGGAGCCUGAGAAUUUAUCAGACACACUCUAAUGUCUUAAACUGCUGUGAGAAGAGUAAAAUGCAAGUUUUGGGCAAAAAUCCCUUUCUGAGCCCUGUUUGGAGACCAGAAAUGAGCCUGGAGUUGCCCCCUGCAUCUACUUGUGUGGAAGAUAACUAACAGAAAUCUUUGGCACAACCAGUAAAGGAAAGGGGCUUCCAGGCUUGCCAGCUAUAUGGCACAUGUGUCCCUCCAACUCCACCAUGUUCAAGAGGCAUUUAAAUAAACCCUCAUUUAAGUCAAAUGAGGUUGUUCUCAACAGAGUCUUCUCCAGUAAUUCAAGGCUGAUCAGAAAAUCUGUUUGGCUUCAGACUUCACUAUAGCACUAAUUCUAGAAUAUUCAUCGCACAAAAUAAUAUAAUAAAUGUAACAUUCUUUCUGGUCUAAGGAUAUUAUAGGGCACCCACAGGAUGAUCUUAAAAACUGACAAUAACUGUUUAUAGAAGUUACCCUGAAAAGACGGCCAAACAAUGAAGAGACUGGGAUUACACCAGGGAAUGCCACCUGGUUUCCUACACAGGUACCCACCAAGAGGCAUCAAUCUAAGUUCAUCCCUGUCCAACAUUUAUUCUACCACUUCCAGGCUUGAAAAAAUGAUUUUAUUAAAUUGCAAAUAUAAGUACAACUCUCGAGAUUGGAAUAUUAAGCCAGCAUCAUAGAUACUGCUAUAUAAAAUCAGAACAUCAAAGUAUUAAUUUUUAGUGAAGGGUAGCAGAAUUUGCCACACCAAAAUAUGCCAUUGGCAUAAUGAUUAAUUUGAUCUGAUUAUUUUGAGGAACAGUAGAGAUAGGAGAAGUUCUGAAAAUAGAGAAGUUACCUUUUUUUAUUUAUUUUUUAAAUUUUUGUUGUUGUUGCUAUUUCUUGGGCCGCUCCCACGGCAUAUGGAGGUUCCCAGGCUAGGGGUCCAAUCGGAGCUGUAGCCACCGGCCUACGCCAGAGCCACAGCAACGCGGGAUCCGAGCCGCGUCUGCAACCCACACCACAGCUCACAGCAACGCCGGAUCGUUAACCCACUGAGCAAGGCCAGGGACCGAACCCUCAACCUCAUGGUUCCUAGUUGGAUUCGUUAACCACUGCGCCAUGACGGGAACUCCUGAAUGUGGUAUUUAAGCUAGAGUUCUAAGCCAUCUCUUUGAGUUGCUAACUUUUCCCUGGGUAUCUCCCAUGUAUACAUGUUAAUAAACUUCUGCUUGUUUUCUCUUAUUGAUCUGUCCUUUACUAUAGGGAUCUCAGGCAACAACUCAGAAGAGCAGAGGAAAACUCCUCCUGUCCCCCCUCCCCCACAUACACAAACACAUUAUUUAAAAAAUAAAGCCAUCACAAGGACAAGAAUUUUUGCAUUAAGGCCAUUGCUUUCAAAUCCUGAGUAGCUAGAUGUGUACCUUUAGGCAAGUCAUGUCAUGUAGCCUCACUAAAACCUCAGUUUCCUCAUAUUUAAAGUAGGAACACAAAUGGUAACUCCCUUACAAUGUUCUUGAAAGCACUAAAGGAGAGACUGCAUGUACAUCUCUCAACCCAAUGCCUGGCACAUAAGUCCUCAGUAAGCCCUAUUAAUUGUUUCUAUUGCUACAAUAAAAACAUUGCUUGGUAAGGCUUCUUGUAUUAGAUAAAAUCUGAUGCUCUAGGCUUCUUAAGUUCAGAGUGUCAAAGAAAGUGGUUGUGGAGGUGUCAAUCAGCCAGAACUGGAAGGCCAAGGUUAAGAACAAUGUCUGACUGACUUGGCCAAUAAAAAUACAAGGAGCCACCAUUAGAUUCCUGAUAUUACCAAUGUAGAGAGCAAAAGGAAGAAUAGCCAAGGUGUUAGUUACCAUGAUCCUUGGUCUUUAUACCAAAACAAAAGGAGUAUGUGACUACAAUCUUGCUGAGGAGCCAAUUCUAGGUGGCAGCGAAGAAAUUUUAUUUUUCUUAGCUCUGAGAAACACAGGCUGAACAUGUCAGACCUCAUCAGAACAUGGGAGGUGAUGAGAAACUCUAUUAUGACAGCUUUUCAGGGAAGGUAGGUAGCCGAGUGGCAGCUACUCACAGGACUUUCAUACUCGAAUAUUUUAGAAGAACACGAGAUGUUCAUCAAGAUUCAGAUAAGCUUUGUUAUAAGCCUUUGCCUGUGUGGCCUAUGUACAAACAUGCACAAUUGCCAGGACACCAUGUUGUAGCCAUUCCUCCAGAGAAGGUAUACAAUUGAGCUUCAGUUGAGCAAAGCUAUACUAGAAGUAAGAACUGGAAAUUACAAGUUAUUCGUAACAACCUGUUCUCAAGGUCGGAUCUGAGAAGGGGAGUCUAUGGACAUCCAAAUGUAUCAUGGCCUAAUUCUAACUGGUUUUUAACAAGAGAGUUGUUAUUUCAGUUUUCCUGUCCUACAUUUAAGGAAGUACUUCCACAGGGAUCUGUGCACAAGCAUUUUCCACACCUAGACUUCUUCACCAUGCGAUACUAUGCUAAUUUGCUAUGUAGGUAACAGGCAGGUGACCCUUACUAUAUAUAACUGACUCUUGAACAGUGUAGGUGAUAGGGGUGCUGACUCUGUGCAGUUGAAAAUCCAAGUAUAACUUUAUAGUUGGGUAUUUCAUAUCCAUGGUUCUGCAUCUAUGGAUUCAAUCAACUGCAGAUCAUGUAGUAUUACAGUGUUUAUUGGAAAAAAAAUCCAUAUAUAAGUGGAUCCACACAGCUCAAACUCAUUGUUCAAGGUCAACUGUAGUAAUUUACUUUGAAAUGAUCUGGCAACAUAACCCAAAUAGGUAUCGGGAAGGGGAAAGGACAAGGCACAUGAAUGGCAAACAAUGAUUCUAAAGAGAUCUCUAUUUGAUUCCAAGUAAUUCAGCAGAGCCAAGUCAAACCAAAAAAGGCCCUAAUCUUAUACGUGGACUAUGAAAAACUACUAUAGUGCCAAAAAAAGUGAACCUUAUUGUUAGUUUAAACAAAGAAACAAACUUCUAUUUAUGAUACAAAAAUCACAUGACUGGUGAAUCAGAAAUAAAAGAAAACUAUAAAAUAUACUUCUGUAAGAUCUUGAUCAAGAAAAAAAGAAAAAUAGGAGUUCCUCUCGUGGCUCAGUGGUUAAUGAAUCUGACUAGGAACCAUGAGGUUGUGGGUUCGAUCCCUGGACUUGCUCAGUGGGUUAGGGAUCCGGCGUUGCUGUGAGCUGUGGUGUAGGUCACAGACGCAGCUCGGAUCCUGCGUUGCUGUGGCUCUGGCGUAGGCCGGCAGCUACAGCUCCGAUAAGACCUCUAGCCUGGGAACCUCCAUUAUGCCGUGGGUGUGGCCCUAGAAAAGGCAAAAAGACAAAAACAAACAAACAAAAAACAAGUACACACAACUAAAAUUGAUAAAGAAAUGAAAGGUGAUAUAGCUAGGGAUUAAAAUAUAAAAAUUCUAAAAACAUAACUGUAGUGAUGGCAUCAAAAUGGCAAAACAGAAGUUUGCUACCAUCUUUCCCUCAAUCACUGACAGUAGAGUCCAAGAGUCCAGUAGAGCAAAGAAACUCCAAAAUUGGAUGCAUUAGAGUGGGUAAGAGGAACAGAUUCACUUUACCCACAUAGCCCCUUCUUCAAGAAAGAACUUCUCAGCCUGUGAUUUCUCCCAUGGGGAAAAGUGAGACUAGGUGAGUAUGUGCCUAACUUCUCCAGCUAUGUAGAACACUGACAAAGAGAUCCAUUUGCUUCUCAUUUCAUCCAGAAUACUGAGGUGUGCCACAUCAUUAUGAGGUGGAGAGCAGCUGAGAUAAUAGCAUCCAUGGCUCUUAGCAUCAAAGAGACAUUGAUUCAAUAAACCACAUCUCAGGCUCUAUCAGGAAUCCUGUCUAUGAACUGCUGAGGACACCUCACUUGUGCAUCUCCCACAGCUGGCCCAGAGGCACUCCCUCAACACUCCAUGUGUCCCACCCACAUGAUCCACCCACCCCAUGGCUAGUUCCCUGUGAAUACCCUAGAGGGUGACCAGAGAGAGACUUCACGAAUGUCUCUAAACAUGUACAGAAAGCCAGCCUGACACUGUGAGACUGGGAGAAAGCGUACAUUUGUAUAUUGAGCAAUACCUUAGGAAAAGCAAAUAGAGGCUGUCAGUGCCAAGUCUGACUUUGCAAGAUUGAGAUAAGGCAUACAAUCUUAAGAGUUCUCCCACAAGAACAAGCAAGAAGUGUGGAGCAGGUGUAUGCAUGUAAAAGUUCUGGGAAAGCCUCAGAAUCCCUAACAAGGCUAAUGGAGAGUAUUUCUCUCCCACAGCCAGUCAGUAAAGAUUGGUAAUAACUGCAAAAGGUGAUUACUUCUUCAAAUGUGAAGGCAACAAUGUAAGACUUCAAGGAACAGGAAAAUUCAAGGAAAAUAUGACACCAAAGGAAUACAAUUUUCCAAGCCAAUGACAAAGAAAAGGAGAUCUGCAAAUUGUCCAAUAAAGCAUUCAAAAUAUUCAAAAUAGUUAUUCUAAGAAAGCUUGCUGAACUGCAAGAAAACAUGGAGAGACAACUCACUGAAACUAAG